GGCGAGCGACGGCUGGCUGUUUAUAAACCCAAUCUCCCUCUCAAAUUCAAAAUUCAUGGCUUUCAAUGGACUCCAGCGAAAUUACAGGGAAUUCGUGGUCACGGGACCGGCCUCCGCCAAUCGCUCGUCUGGGCCUGGUGGAAAACAGAGAGCAUUAUUUGGUUUAAUUGAUUCAAAAACACCAGAGGACCACGACCAGGACACCAUGAGCCCCCAUUCCUACACCAGUGCCUCACAUGCUCUCUCCCCAAUGCCUCCGUUUCUCCAGAAAAGCUAGAGGAACCUUUUCCUCAUCCCCUUCGAAGGAAAAGAUGAGUGAGGAUCUCCGCGUUGGAGGAAGAGGGAGUCGAAAGAGGCUUCCACUCUUUGAAAAAGACCCAAUGGUGGUUGGGCUUCGGGUCACGUGACACCUUCUUUGUGGCUCCGGAAGAGGAUUGUGAAGUUUAGGUUUCGUGGAAGAAACCGAUAAUUGAGGAAAAAAAAAAAUCAAGAUUUGGGGGGAAUUACCUACAAAGAUGUAAGGUGUGUUAAUUUGGGCGCUUCUUGGAUUCUACCCUGAGGAGGAGGCGCGUGGUGAGAGGAGAGCUCCACCAGCUGCGCGCUCGUGUACGCCGUCCGCGCCCGCUUGGACGCCGCCGACCCCGGGGGGCUCUUGUCCCCUCCCCCGCCGCCGCCGCCACCGCCCCCGCUGCCACCACUGCCUCCGCCGCCGCCGCCACCGCCGCCGCCACCACAGCCCUCUGCUGGAUCCGAGGGGGAGGGGUGGGAAGGGGAGAAAAUGAAAUAAAAGAUAAUUACUGAA
rnacentral:lncRNA from 1 species